AACCAUUCUCACCUGCGGCUAGACCUGCGGAAGGAUCAUUACCGAGUUUACAACUCCCAAACCCCUGUGAACAUACCUAUACGUUGCCUCGGCGGAUCAGCCCGCGCCCCGUAAAAAGGGACGGCCCGCCCGAGGACCCCUAAACUCUGUUUUUAGUGGAACUUCUGAGUAAAACAAACAAAUAAAUCAAAACUUUCAGCAAUGGAUCU
rnacentral:misc_RNA from 1 species